rnacentral:rRNA from 1 species
CCUACGGGUGGCAGCAGUGAGGAAUAUUGGUCAAUGGGCGCGAGCCUGAACCAGCCAAGUCGCGUGAGGGAUGACUGCCCUACGGGUUGUAAACUUCUUUUAUAAGGGAGUAAAGUGCGGCACGUGUGCCUUUUUGUGUGUACUUUAUGAAUAAGGAUCGGCUAACUCCGUGCCAGCAGCCGCGGUAAUACGGAGGAUCCGAGCGUUAUCCGGAUUUAUUGGGUUUAAAGGGAGCGUAGAUGGGUUGGUAAGUCAGUUGUGAAAGUUUGGGGCUCAACCGUAAAUUUGCAAUUGAUACUGGGAGGCUGGAGUACAGGUGAGGUAGGCGGAAUGCGUGGUGUAGCGGUGAAAUGCUUAGAUAUCACGAAGAACCCCGAUUGCGAAGGCAGCCUACUAAACUGCCACUGACACUGAUGCUCGAAAGCGUGGGUAGCAAACAGGAUUAGAUACCCGGGUAGUC